GACGUAGGGCGCGAGCGUUGUCCGGAUUUAUUGGGCGUAAAGAGCUCGUAGGCGGCUUGUUGCGUCGACUGUGAAAACCCGCGGCUUAACCGCGGGCUUGCAGUUGAUACGGGCAGGCUAGAGUUCGGUAGGGGAGACUGGAAUUCCUGGUGUAGCGGUGAAAUGCGCAGAUAUCAGGAGGAACACCGGUGGCGAAGGCGGGUCUCUGGGCCGAUACUGACGCUGAGGAGCGAAAGCGUGGGGAGCGAACCGG
rnacentral:rRNA from 1 species